CCCAUCUCUGUUUCUACCAUUAUGUGAGCCCCAUCCCACCCCAUCCCUGUUUCUACCAUUAGGUUAGCCCCAUCCCAUAUAUGUUUCUACCAUUAGGUUAGCCCCAUCCCAUAUAUGUUUCUACCAUUAGGUUAGCCCCAUCCCAUAUCUGUUUCUACCAUUAGGUUAGCCCCAUCCCACCCAUCCCUGUUUCUACCAUAAGGUUAGCCCCAUCCCAUAUCUGUUUCUACCAUUAGGUUAGCCCCAUCCCAUAUCUGUUGUUACUAUUAGGUUAGCCCCAUCCCACCCCAUCCCUGUUUCUACCAUAAGGUUAGCCCCAUCCCAUAUCUGUUUCUACCAUUAGGUUAGCCCCAUCCCAUAUCUGUUUUUACCAUUGGGUUAGCUCCAUCCCAC
ensembl:lncRNA